rnacentral:tRNA from 1 species
GUGGGAGUGCCGGAGUCUGGAAAUGUUAAAAACACCAGUUAACGGGCAGGACUUAAGAUCCUGUGACUUAGUGUCUACGCAGGUUCAAAUCCUGUCUCCCACA